rnacentral:lncRNA from 1 species
UAUUUACCUGGACCUGGGAAAGUAAUUCUCAUCUGAAAACCAGGUGUCUCUGGUUCUUCCACUAAGAUUGAUUGCUUUGAGUGUCAGCCAGCCCAGGCUGAGCAUUCCUGAGUAAUUAGGAUUCACUUCAUUGGCAGGCGAGUGCUGACCUCACCUUGCAAAGCUCUCUGAAGUGUCUGAGCAGAGGGUCCACUCCUCCCCGGCAUACCUUUGCAGCAAUAUCCUGGCAGAUACUUUAUGUCAUGUUGCCAUGAACGGCAUUGUUCUGCCCCAAGCCCCAGGCUACUGGAAAAAAUGGUUGAAGACCUGAAAACUGUGACCCCUGUUGCCUAGCAACUGAGAAGCUCAGCCUCAACCCCGGGUGGGGGAGAUGAUGGAGAAAGUGCUGGGGAAUGUUUGACACCGCCCUCCUCUCUCAUAUAUGUGAACGUCGAUAGCCUCUGCGAACUGGCCCCACAGUUGUUAAUUUUUUGACUGUGGGCUGAGACCCAUUAGCUCAAAUGCUCACUAGUGCCCAAUCCAAAUUUGUACACAUCAGUUAUUUUUAAAAUAGCUCAAACAAGCAAAUUUUCAAGCCAUUUAGAAACUGCCUGCUUUGCAUACCUG